GCAAAGAUACAUAUUCAAGAUACGAUCAUUUAUAUUAAUAUAAUUACAAGAAUCAACACAAGGUACAUUCCAACCCUAACCAUAUGCACAGCAGUAAAAACCACAACAAUUAUUGACCAAAAAUUAGCAAAGACAAAGCUAAGGUUUGUUUUAUAGAUUUACACUGUAUGGUACAUGGUUAGUUAAACAAUAAAGCGCCAACUAUUGCAACCACCGUUAGUCCCUUACAGUUCUCAAUAAUUGCCUAUCUCAAGUUAACAUAAGAUCAUUGGCUCCAAGGUGAGGAUGAAAGCAAACACGAACCUCAUGUUCUUCUGGUCCCUCACGAAGUUUUGGCACAAGAAUCUCCAAUGCAGAUCCUGGCCCAUCAUAGUAGGCUUCUAUGUUAGCAUCCUCAGGAAUUCU
rnacentral:misc_RNA from 1 species